AGAGUUUGAUCCUGGCUCAGAUUGAACGUUGGCGGCAGGCUUAAGACAUGCAAGUCGAGCGGUAACAGAUCGCUAGGAUCCCUUCGGGGUGACUUUGAUGCUGACGAGCGGCGGACGGGUGAGUAACACGUAGGAAUCUGCCCAGUAGCGGGGGAUAGCCCAGGGAAACUUGGAUUAAUACCGCAUACACCCUAAGGGGAAAAGAAGGCCUCUCUUGAAGCUUUCACUAUUGGAUGAGCCUGCGUAAGAUUAGCUUGUUGGUGGGGUAAAGGCCUACCAAGGCAACGAUCUUUAGCUGGUCUGAGAGGACGAUCAGCCACAUUGGGACUGAGACACGGCCCAGACUUCUACGGAAGGCAGCAGUUAGGAAUAUUGGACAAUGGGGGCAACCCUGAUCCAGCUAUACCGCGUGUGUGAAGAAGGCCCUAGGGUUGUAAAGCACUUUAAGCAGGGAAGAAGCAUGUUAAGUUAAUACCUUAACAUGUUGACGUUACCUGAAGAAUAAGGACCGGCUAACUCCGUGCCAGCAGCCGCGGUAAUACGGAGGGUCCAAGCGUUAAUCGGAAUUACUGGGCGUAAAGCGCGCGUAGGCGGUUUAAUAAGUUGUAUGUGAAAACCCUGGGCUCAACCUAGGAACUGCAUACAAAACUAUUAAGCUUGAGGACGAGAGAGGAGAGUAGAAUUUCAGGUGUAGCGGUGAAAUGCGUAGAUAUCUGAAGGAAUACCAAUGGCGAAGGCAGCUCUCUGGCUCGUUUCUGACGCUAAGGUGCGAAAGCGUGGGUAGCAAACAGGAUUAGAUACCCUGGUAGUCCACGCCGUAAACGAUGAUAACUAGCCGUUGGGCAGAUUUAACUGUUCAGUGG
rnacentral:rRNA from 1 species